rnacentral:tRNA from 1 species
GUCCCGGUAGCUCAGUGGUAGAGCGUUCGGCUGUUAACCGAAAGGUCGCAGGUUCAAAGAGCGUUUGACGUUCGCUAGCGAGCGUCGUUCGAAAUUCCUGCCCGGGACG